rnacentral:lncRNA from 1 species
AUAUUUAACCGAACAUAACUAGCUCGACACAUACACGCCCACAGAACUGGCGAUCUUGACGCUCUGAGUAACUGCAGUGGUUGGAUGUGAGCAUCAGAGUAAGAAUGGCAGCUGCCAUCGGAGGACACAAUUUGCGGAGUUAUUAUAAGUCUGAUGCCAGUGUUCAUUUGUCCACAUCAGAGUGUGACUCCAAAUUUGGUUGACAUACCAGGAACACUUAUACAAGCAUAGCAAACUUUAGUAUUAAUGUAUAUUUACGCACGUACAGACAAAGCAGGAUUACAUAUUGCGCAUGCCAAAGCACGGCUGUGCAAGACGUAGACUACUACAGAUAUACACACCCCAGGCCCGAGCAUAUAACACUGAGAAUCACCUCCAUAGUAAAGACUUCAAGAUGGGAUCAACUAUGCAUACAGCACAUACAAUCCCAUUCUGCAGACAAUGAAGCGGUAAUACUCAGAUAUGUAUGAUCUCGAUCGACAACACACUUAUUCCUUUCCUUGGAAGCUUCUAGUAGUCGUCGGUGUUGUUCCUGCCCGACCUACUCAUCGGAGCCGGACUUGUUGUAGCCUCCGCUGUAGUCAUCGGUUCCUGACUUGCUGCUGCGGCCAUAGUCAUCGCCGCUGGACUUGUUGUAGCCUCCGUCAUAGUUGUCCGUGCUAGACUUGUUGUAGCCACCGCUGCCAUAGUCGUCAGUGUUGGAGGUGUUCUUACCGCUGCCAUAGUCGUCGGUGCUCGACUUGUUGUAGCCGCUGCCGCCGUAGCCAUCAGUGCUGGAGUUCUUGUAGCCACCAUCAUAGUCGUCAGAGCUUGGCUUCUUGUAUUCGUCGCUGGUGGUGGACUUGCUGUAUCCACCACUGCCACUGUAGUCAUCGGUGCCAGAUUUGUUGUAGUCGCUGCUUAGGUCAUUGGACUUGUAGCCACCAUCGUUUCUGUAGUCGUCGGUGCUGGACUUGUUGUAGCCACCCCCGCUACUGUAGUCGUCCGUGCUGGACUUGUAGCCGCCACCCCCGCUACCGUAGUCAUCGGUGCUGGACUUGUUGUAGCCACCAGCGUUACCGUAGUCGUUGGUGCUGGACUUGCUGUAGCCACCUUCGUCAACACUGGUGCUUCUGUAGCUGCUGCGAUCAUACUCAUCAGCCAUUUUAAGUUGUGAAGUAAAAUAUCACAAAAAUAAAUUGUAUGCUCAGUUCUGUGCAUCCAUGGAGCAUGGGGUAGUAGGUAUUUAUAGCAGAGAACUAGAUACACAGGAGGUUUGAAAGCAUCAAUAGCAAUCUGAAAUACGGGUGGCUAAUAUGAUGGACAUUAAACGGUGAAAGCAGCUCAUUUGUUGUCUAGGUGGAGAUCUUUCUGUGCUCCUCGAGAAAAGACAACUGGACCUGGAGCAAUGCCAUAUGACCGCAAAGAGAAAAAGGAUUUUGAUCCAUCAAUACGUUUCAACCCUGAAAGAUAGCCAAUGCACCACAUAAGUGUUUUUUAUGUAAGCCAAACCACGUAUAAAUGUUGUCUGACGGAAACACACAUGGAAUAUCACAUCUUUUCUUAAACACCAACUGAACUUACUCUGUUUCCACAUCUAUAUGAGUAUCAAAUCUAUGUUAGUUGAUCAGUAAAUAAGAAUAUCCCGAAUAGACCAAUGGAUACUCACAUCUUGCACAAGUGGAUACAGCUGUAAGAAAUUACUUAAUUCAAAUUAGAAAAAACAUUUAGGAUUUGAACACAAAUUAAUCAGCAGGUUUUUAUAGUUUCACAACAAUAAAAUAUGUCCAUAAUUCUACGAAUCAUGUCAUUAGGACAACACAGUGUUAACUGUGAAAACUUAAAGAGUCAUAAAAACAAGGAAACUAUGCACCACUCAUAUAACAGAACCAUGUUAUGAGAUGAAAAUAGCACAAAAUGCUGAAUACCAUCUAGAGGUUUUGCAGCAUGGUGCAACGUUGCAUCCAAAACCAAGAUCUGAACAGGAUUUUUUCUAGUUUUUUAUCAUAACCACUAGCUUAAAAUAAAUAGGCCCCAACUGUGAAUAGGUAGGCCAGCCCAUUAAUGAUGUUUAAUUUGCUAGUGGUCAGGUCAGGGUUAGCAGCGUCUAGCAGCAAUACAAGCAAAGAAAAAUACUAAAGCAUAUUCCUACAAUUAUUUGUCACCAGAACCUGUCACUACUAUUCUGAUAAUUAAUACACCAAUUCAACUUGCUAUAGCAAACAUCUGUUUCUCAGUGAAAAGGGUUGGAACGUUUGUAGUUGGCUGCAUAAAACAUGCAGUUAGAGGCUUGCAGGUACAGUUGAGUUCUGAAUUGCCUACUUACCUUUAAGUAACUUGACAUAGUUGAUCUGAAAAUGAGUAACUAUAAAGAUAAAGGAGCAAUUGCAAGGCCUGAAAUUAGCCAUUCAUUUGUUUACAUAUUUCUCCAGUUCGCUUGGAAAAAUGGUGAUCCCUGUAGAUAAGACAAAAUCUGGGUAAAAGGUAAUUGCAAAUAGAAAAGAAAGAAAAUUCUGAUCAGACCAAAAUUCACAUCAGGAAAAACAAAGAAGCGAAAGAUAAUACACAAUCAUACAACUCACUAGAAAUUAGAAAACCCACAAUUUUCAUUCAUCUGUAAGGGUCUGAGCCUCUGAGGGUGUUACAAUUUGCAAGUAUGAAUGAGAUCAUUUUGUCUAGUGGAGUUGAAUGAGAUGUCUUUGUUUUAUUCAAAGCAUGGAACUGUCAGCAUGUGACUUAAGUAUGAAACAUAAUUUUUGCUUUUACUUGUAGAUAGAGUUGCCAGGAUGAGGAAAUGCUUUCUAUCAGGUCCAGUUUUGCAAACCCACCAUCCCACCCAACCCUGAAAAUCCCAUCCACAGAGAAGGAAUCCUGUCCUUCAUCAAACAAGCAGAGCUAUUUGUUUUCAGUUCAUUGAACCAAGACAUAAUUGCCCAAAAGUAAUGCUAAUUAUUUUCCGUCACUACAGUCUUGUAAAAAAAAACUCUUGAAUUAUAGCUAGGCUACACCAUUCUUCAUGAGCAGCCAAAGACAUGCAACAUGUAUAAUUGUAUCACAAUGAUUUGAGAGUAUCUUCCAGACACAAAUAGCUAGCUUUUUCUAGAUGUUUAAACAAAAUAUUUUGCACCUUUGUUAAAACUGUCAUGGCCCAGCUUCAUAAUGAUUCCAUUCAUAACAAGAAGAAUUUGCAUCCUAACCAGAAAGCAUAUGCAUCCUUUUUACAUAAUGAGAAAAUAAAUGUAAAACUGAACCAAGGAUCGACCAUUAUGGAAUGAUAACCUAAUUAGUUUCAGACAGUCUCAGAGCCCACUUUCAGAUAAACUGCUACAUAGAUAUAUCAAAGGACAAAUGUUAAGCAAAGCGAAACCACAGAAGUAUGAUGUUAUCUGCUCCUAUGAAACCCAUCUUUAGCGGCUUUUCUUCAUUAGAACAAAGAGAAUGGUACAAUGUAAAUGACCCAACUUCCCAGUGGGAAAAAGUAUAUUACAGAUAGACUGAGCUUUUGUUAAAAGAAACAAUGGGAUUAACCAUAAACCAUCUAGAAACUAAGAUCAACAACCAUUGAUACUUGAAGCAGAGCAUAUCAAACAUCAAACUAUGGCAGAUAAUGACUACACACUUUACAAGAACAGAACUAUGCCAACAAAGACAAGUCAUGUGUAAAUCAAUACCUUCAAGUAUAUCUUUAGCAAGGUCUGCCAGAUAAUGUUGCGGGCCAUAGCAUAUACUAGUGAGAUAUUUGCAAUAGGUGACACAACAAAUAGCCAAACUAAAAAUGCACUCUUUCUGUUCCUUUGUGAAAGAUGUAGGAUCAUGUGCAGAAAGAUUGGCAUAAUUUUCCUCCGGAAGGAGAGGCUGGUGUAUUGAUGUUCCAAGCCAACUGAAAUCUAUAGGAUUCUUGAUCUUUUCCAGGCAGGGUAAACCUUGGACUAGAAAUGACCAGCAAUGAAACGACAAAGAUAGCAUUUGUUUGCCAAACCCUUCACAAGUUGAUCUGAACUCAUUAUACUUCACUAAAUCAUGUUUUGCAGAACUUUCUGGACAUGAAGGAAAGGUGAACUUAGCCGCAGAUAAAUACUGCCUCAUCUCUCCCUUCAUAGAUUGAACAAGAAAAAACAAUGACUGCCCAGCACCUAUUAAAAAAUGCGACAGUGGCAUCAUAAAGGAACAUUCAGAUAAGAACAGAUGGUUCGUAGCUCCAGCAAGUACUAAUGAAUAAGCUGCUGCAGCUUUGGCCAUUCUAAUAAGAUCAUCACUUUUUUCUCCAUGCAAACUGCCUGUUUUUAAACUUAGGGCACGAAACCGGUAAGCAGAGGCAAGUGUCAUGUAAGCAGUGAAACAGAGAUGGUGAAGAGGGUGCAGUAUAUGUUUUCUCCCUCGAAGUUCCCCUUUCUGCAAAUCUCUCAUUAAGUUUUCAGAAAGCAUGCUUUCAAUCAUAUCACAACAAGCUUUGGCAUCAUCACCCAAUGAGUAUUCAGAUAUUGCUUGUUGCAAGUCAUCAUCCAAAUCCUCAACUGUUGGAGCUGCAACAGCAUCCUCUGGUUUAUUUAAGUCCCUAGCAUCACACUGAUAGAUAGUCAUGGAGAGAAGUGGUCAAGACAGUUUGUUUUUUUUUUGGCAAAAAGUGUAAGUGUUGACAACUAGGAACAUGUGCAAUAAGCUAAAAAUUCUAGUAAAAGUAUAAAAUGGGCUAAAUAAAACAUUGGUGUCACUAACUGGUGAAAGUAUUAUUAACUAUUUUCAGAGAAAUUUACAACACAGCAGCCAAGCUAUGGAAUUCAAUGGCAGUUUGCUAACAGUUUCCAUAACACUCCAUGACAAUGUGAUUGGAAAGUUUUAAUUGCUUGUGAACAUAGUGCCAACAAUAAAGGAAGCACAUGAAAAAUUGCAAAUAAAUUAUGAGAAUAUUUUAUCCCAGAUUGCAUUCUUACAUUCAAAAUAAGAUCCACAUAAGGUUCUGGUGAUGCUAUACAACGAUUGCAAGAACAAAUGAAUUUAUACUUUAACCACAGAUCCGAAUGCCUUGCUUCCUGGAAAGAGAUGUUAUGAGCAUGACAAGAUAAGUGAAUAAAGAAUGAAAUGCAACCAGUAGAAAAACUUCUUUUCCUCUUUAUUGACAUUGUAUGUUGGACCUCGGAUUGGUAACUACUGAUAAUUUUAACCAAGCUUUACUAAAACAAUUAAUAUGCAUUAACUAAUCAUUAGUGGAAAACACUAGUGAUGUGUAUGCCAGCAUACACCAAAACAUCAAAAGAAAAAAGGCUAGCCCAAAUUUUGUUUUCCUCUGUGAAAGUGGGGAGAAUUUGAAGACAAAUCGACAACUUUGUUUUUGCACACGCAAAAGCCUUGUCUUUAUAGAACAGAUGCAAAGAAACAUUAAGUUUUACACCACAUAGCAGGCCGAAGUGACUGCUAUGAAGUUAAAGACGAAUCUGGGAAAAAUGCUUAAACUAGUAUGCAACAAAGUUUAACAUGACAUGAGAAUUUGCAAAUGCAGAAUACAUUAGUAAGCAGGUAUGAUUGUUCAAGUCAAUAUAUAUCUUUUGCAUCAGCAGUGCAUGACUAAUAAGAGCGCCAUAUCGAAUAUUAACAACAGUGGCUCACAAGAAACCACAAUAACAAAAUUGAGUAAUAGUGUUAUAUGCUUGAAUUGGUGAAAUAUCAGGUGCACAAGAGUAAUACCGGUGAACAUAUGCACAAACUAAAUCUCCUCCCUCGGAUCCAAUCUGAAUGGCCCAAGUGACAGGUGGAAAUCACCCCAUCCCCUUGUCCACCUUUUAAUUGGACAAUCUAAUUGGGCCCUAUGUUAGCCCAAAAGGGAUAAGAGAACUUCCACCUCCCAUGUAGGCCUCUCAGAUUAGGUUCAAGAAACAUUAUUGAGUUUGUGCAUGUGUUCACCAAUAUACUCCUGUCCAUCUGAUAUUUACCCUUGAUAAUUUUGUUAAACAUGGAAUAACAGCAGUCACCAUAUCAAAAUGAAUUAGUUACGGGCCACCAACGUUCUAAAAUUAAGCACAAAAAGAAUAAUGUAUGGCCAUCUAAGAAACUAAAUACCGGUGCAACUAAAAGUCACCCAAAUAGCACACAUUACAAUGCAUUGCACAAGUUAACCUUGAUUAAAUUCUUCAAAAGAAUAAUGUAUGUUCAUCUAAUAUUUGAUCCUGAAUAUAUGAUAGUGACUGACUUAAUGUGUUGGUAAAUUGCAAAUAUGGGUUCAGCAAAAUUCGACAAAAAGUACCUUGGUCUGGAGAAGAUCAAUGUAUGUUAUGCAAACUUCAUCUCCCUUGAUAAUUGGUUUUGUGCAACGAACAACAACUCUGGGACCAUAUUUGCAGAGUGCUAGGAAAUAAUUAGUGAGAAAAAGUUUAGAAUGAUGCAUUCAUAUAUUGCAACAUAGUCAAAAAUAAUGAAAUACCUUUGGUAGAAUUUGCUUCCUCAUACUGCCAAGUAUGCCACUGGAACCAAUAACAAACGCAAUGAUUCAAUGUACAAUAAUAAAGUAAUAGCUCAAGUAAAGAAAAUAAGUGCUUUCCUAGAAGCUAGAAACCAUGCAGCCAAACUAUUCAAUUUUCAUAUAAUUAGUAUCUUUGCAAAUACUUGGAUCUAACGAACAAAAAUAACAGAAUUAGAUCUUACUCAAAAGAUACUUUCACGAUACUUUAUUUUAUCUGGCUUUAUGAAUAUAUUACAACAGACUGAUGGCCAAAGGUGUGUAAGGGAUCCAUGUCCAAAAGGACACUUACAGUGAUGAGUGACCUGAGUAUAAGCAUUCGAUUAUAUUCUCUUAGUAUAUGAUGCAAGCAAAAGUUCAUCAGGUACUAAACAAAAUGGUAAUCAGUUUCCUUUACCACAUCAGCUGCAACUCCUUUGCUAGCAGGGACUGCCCAUGAUUUUGAUUUGUGUGAAAUACAGUCUUCAUUCUUUGGAGCCAAUACAAACCGGUACGAAGCAUUGGGAAAGCAGCUAUGGUUGAACCAUGAGAAACUUGGGCCAUACACAGAAAUUCCCAUUGCCAUCCCUUCACUAAGCUGUACCUCAACACUAUUUGUAAUCACUGCCCAUAAUGCCAUCCUCUCAACUUUAAGCCCAUCGGAGAAGCUAACAUAAGUCUCUGCCCUUGAUUUUCUAGCAGAUGACAUCAAUAAGCUCCCCUCCAAUAUCCUCUCAGCAAUCUGUUCCCCUUCCUCCAGAGCUUCUUCAAUUCCACUUGCUGAAAGUCCACCAAUUCUACUGAAGCGGUUGAUUUGAUCAGAUGAAACAAGACCGUGCAUCUCAAGCGCAUAAAGAAGGCGGAGUGCAGCACGCAAAUCACUUGUUCCUUCAGUAACAUAGUUAGGGGAGGCUCUCUUGAGGUGCUCCACAAAGAAGCAACAUUCACCAGAAGAAUAAUGCACCAGUGAAUCUGAGCUUAAGCACUCUGAGCAGCAGUAUCGAACAGAGCAGCAUGUAGUGCAAGACAUGACACAGGGAGAUUGUGGCGGUAAUUCGCUGAAGCAUGAUGAGCAAUGGGAGUGGAGGAACACGUCAUGUAGGGCGAUGGCGUAUGGUGCGAUUGCCCCAGUUAGGUCCUCCGACAUGUUUACAGAUUCCCGAGCCCUCAUCUCCAUUGCCAUGCUUCGAAGCUUCCUGACCUGUUACGAGGUUCUGUCUGCAAAUAGCAUAAAAAUGAAAACUUUAAACAAAGAACAGAACUUGGUAUUUUCUUUAUUUCUCUUUUUAUUUCUCCUUUGAAGUAAGUUGUUUCCACCUGAACAUCAAUCUUGUGCACUCACGCUUAUCAGACUUAAUUCAGGCCCAACAACUUGAGAAGAUAGCCCAAUGCUUAUCAAAAGUGAACUACUUGAUGUCUUGAUCCAAAAGUAAGCUAACUACGCUAACUGAUGCAGUGAUGCUACAACCACCCCAAACACGCGUAAAAUAAAUUCCAACUUUUUUCCUCCAAAAUCCAUAGAUUCAGCGAAAGAGGAACUGAAGCAAACUAGAUCAGGCAAACCACUACAGCAUCUAUAAGCAGCGGUUGUGUACCAAAAACUGAUAAAUGCACAGCUGAUUUUUGUCCCAAUCCACCAAUGGCGUCGCUAACUAACUUAGGUCUAGAAACACCAAACCCUUUCCCUAACUAACUUGGGAGAGGCUCUACUUGCCUUUGAUCGAACGCAGCACCAGCACCGUCCACGGACGAGUCUGCGACGGAGGCGGAUGUCAGGAUGUGUAGAGGAGAGAGGAGAGGGACCAAGGUAGCGGCGGCCGCAACCCCCUUGUCGGCCGCAGACUAGCAGUCUCGUUGGAGAGACGGAGACGAGAGAAGAUGGGCCGCGAGAGAAGCUGGGCCACAGCCCAUCUAAAUUUCAGAGAAGCUGGGCCACAGCCAGUCUAAUUUCUAUUAUUUGUACGGCCCAUCUAGUUCUGGUCAUGGGUAAACUAGGCCCGACGAGCCCGAGCCCGACCAUGAUCUGGGCUGGAUGUGAUCCUCGCAGCCACAACACUAACGAGAUGUCUAAAUUCAAAAACACAAAUGCGCAGCAAAUUCAAAUCAAAAUUUGACAUAUAUAAUAUAUAAAUAUAAACACAUGUUACUUUAGAAUAUUGACAUUAAUUUGGCAAGGGCCGCGCGAACGCGUACCCCCUCUUCCACAAAUUAUGACGUCCACUCUCCCGUUUAGGAAGAUGGUAAGCCAAUGCUCCUCCCAAGUGCAAUGGAGGCCAUUGAUUUAGGCCAUAGCUCUUCUUGAUCGGCUAUCGACCCCGUCCAGGUAAGUGAGUUUGAAGGUGCCCCUUGGUAUUGCUUUAUUGCUCCCCAGCAUCUUCUCCCGGUUUCGUUAGCCGAUGCGGUACUAUUGCGUCCGCUAAACCGGUGGUCUGCGCCUUGUACUAAUUGCGCGGUCAGGACUCAUGGUGUUCGUAUUGGACUCGGCCUAUAUCUGCAACUCUGUCAAGGCCCAAGCUAUCCCGGCCCGGACGAGCAGCACAAGGGGCCGUUCUGUCCGGCCCAGGUAGAAAUUUGUGAGUGAACCUAGCCAACCCACACGGCCGCAUUUUUUUUAUGUGCUUUUAGUCUGUUUAUAAACAAGUUUCCAUCAACAAAGACGUGCAAUCUCAACCUACAGAAACCAACGGUACAGCACAGGAAUUCAGCUUACUUUCAGAUUCAGGGGCUUCCAACAAAACUUCAAAUCAACCGUCGCUGGUCAUUGUGAAAGCAAUGAGAAUGCAGGACAAGGUGAAGAUGAUCGUCCCUGCGGCGAAGUCCAGGAUAGCCCUCUGGACUUAUAAGCCGGCUGAAAAGCUGAAACGGCUGAUUUGUUGUGAGAGAAAAAUACUGUUCGGUGGCUGAUAAGCCGAAGCGAACAGAGACCCUGCUUUUCCUGACCAGCCAGCUCAACGUCUUUUAGCAGGCCCCUGCUUGUCCGAGUCCUUGGCGGCAUGGACCAGCCUGCUUUGGACCUCAUCAAGCUUGGCCAGCCAUCUGGCUCGGCUGGCAUCUCAGACGGACCAGAUGAAGCCCGUCAUCCUCCACAGCAGGACGCCUACGUAGAUCGCCACGAUGCAGUCCACGCUGUAGUGGUGUCGCUCACGUAUCUCCCUUUGCGUGCUGUGCAGGAUGAGGAGCCAUAUCACGACGGAGAUCCAGCCCCCAUAUGCUUCCUGUGAGCGUGAAACAGAUGGAAAUGGAGUUGGUAUGACUUGAAAUUUAGAAGUGGUUAAUAUGAUAUGUGAGGAAAGGUAGUAGACAGAUCAGAAUGAAUUGGUGGCCUUUGAAAGGUAGUUUGGUUUCUAAUACAAGAGGACAUAUGGAAAGUGUAGCACAUACCGUCCAUGCCAUUGCAGUAAGAACAGCAACAAGCAUGUGUCCACUGUACAUAAGGUCAUUGCAACCACCACUAGCUUUCUUCAACAGAUGGUACCAUGAUGGACCUUCUCCAGGAAUCGGUCUCAAAAUAUCUACCAGGAAGCUCAUCCGUCCCCAGUCAGGCCUAUAUUCAUCUGGAUAAGCUUGAACAGCAGCUGUAAAAGUAUAUAAGAAUACUUUAGUCUCCACCACCGUACAAAACUGAAUAACUGAUAUACCUGUUAGGUGAUAUGACAAAUGAACUAACCAUAUGCCAUGUCAUGUGUUAUGACUCUACGAAUAGCAUUUGAAUCAGAAGCAUAUGGAACAUAGUAUUUUUGUGCCCAAGGAUGAGGAUGCUGAGGUAUUUGAUAACGAGCUGCAGCACACCAUGGUCUUGCAGAUGGAAGAAUAGUAGCAAUGAAUGUUAUUGUCCGAAGAAAACGACCAAUUGCCAUAGUGAACAUAUAUCUUGUGGCUAUACCAAGACCAGGAGCUUUGAUGCAGUCAAACAGAACUGAGAACCCCAGCAUGAUAAACAACAUCAAAUAAUGGUGAAGAGUGAUAACAUGAGCUGAGUAGAUUGACAAUGCUUUGAGGGAGCUUCUCGUUCAGUGAUAGAAGCAGCCAUUGACCAGUGUCAGGAAGCGGUGCAGCAGAUCUGUUAAAACCAGCAGACUUUAGUUUACAAGAAUUUCUGUAGAUUUAGAAUUCAAGUAUGUAUAUGUGGACCAGGAGUGAGUGCACACAACUAAACUACAUAGAGAAGGUCGAAGUUGAAAAAGGCAGUAUUGCUACUGUCUCCUUAUCAGUGGGAAGCCAAGCUCUGUCCUCUUGGGGUCCUCUUGAGUGGAGCUCUUAUCUGACUAGAAAGCCAUUCAAAACUUUAUCGAAGAACCAGCGUUUAUCGAAGAAGCCAGUUUAUAACCCCUAAACAAAAUAGGAAGAGGAGUACUUCACUAUACAGAGGCUGGGUUGUGUUCACAAAGUAUCAUAAAUGCAAUAAUAAAUUACAAUUAGAUGUAAACCAUGGCCAAAUAAACUAGUAAAUGUGAGAAUCCCAUCAAAACAGAGUUGUCUGAAUUUAUUACAUGUAUUCUUGCUAGCAUAGGACUAAACUGUGUUGGGUUAGAUUUUGAGAGCAAUGCAUAUGCCUAAGGAAUCUACUAAGCCCCAAGCUCUAGUGAUGAUUAUGCCUUCCUUACCCACUAAACCUCUUGAUGCUCCUAGUAUAUCCCAAAGAUAAUUGAUGCUUUACUUGAACUUUAAUCUUUUUAGAGUGCCAAUUGCCGUUAAAUCAGAACAGGAUCAAGCAGUCAGUUAUCACACACUCACAAUAUCAGCAGACUUAAUCUAGCUAGUCAAUAGCAACAAUGAAUCAACAAGGUUCCAUUUAAACAAUUGCACAGACGCCUAUCACCACGAAUGCUACUUUCUGCUGCAAUCAGCCUAUUGAUGUGUAAUCCUAGACAAUAUUUUGAGCACGUUAUCUUCUAUACCAAUACUUUGAGCAGUUUAAAUCUCAGCCUCGCAGCUUCAACUAUUUCGCACACUCACUAACAAAACCCCCUAAAGCUCGCCAAUACAAGCAAAACUCUGCAAGAUCACACCAUAUUUCCACGAAUAACUCUAAACCCGUAUGUUUCAACACGACCUACCAAAACAAAGUUUGCAGCUCAAAAGCUAAAAUCUCUCCGAAAUCCAGCGAGCCUUGGCCCCCAAAGCACCUCAAUAGGUGAGGAAAACGAUGACACGCCGGCUGCGCCCCGGUUCCCCAGAAAGACAAGAAGCACCGACCUGUGCCACUGGAGCGCCAUUACGGCGGAGACGAAGCGGACGGAGAUGGCUUCGCAGAGGAAGGCGGCGAGCAUGAAGGCGAUGGAUCCCAGGAAGGGCAGCGCGGCGCGCAGCUCGGCGGACAAGUGGCGAUAGAACGGGGCGCGCGCGGCCGCCGCCAGCGCCGCCCAGAGCGCAGGCUGCAGCCGGUCGUGCCACGCCGGCGAGAGGUCCACGCCCACGUACGCCAGCACCGCGAUGCCCAGCCCGCCGAAGCCGAGGAGCCGCCGGGUCGAGGCCUGCGGCGGCUUCGGCCUCGGUGCCCUCGCCUUCGCCAUGGCCGGAUCGCCCGCGAGGGUCGUCGAGAGGUCACUUGGUCAUGGACUGGUGUCUAGGCAUGCGAGUGGUUCUAGUCGACUGAUUAAUUACGAUGACUAUAUUUAUCCUCCCAAAUUAUUUAUUUAUAUAGAAUACUAUUUUAGUUUAUUUUAUCAACUUUUUUAUCGAUUAAAUGAACCAUGACCGGACACCGGAGUCGGGGACGCUCAAAGCUAGGAGCUCCGACCUCCGAGUGCUAUGUUGGGCUUGGGUGGGCUCGGGCCCGAGCCUACACAACCCAAAACUAGAUUUUACGGGCUUUCUUGGUCACAUUGCAUCGAUUAUUUGAGCACCACAAGAUGGUUUCAAAUAAAAAAGUUUGAAUCGUAGAUUUCAUUGAAAUCGACAAUUACCGUUUAUCUUCGUCCGAGUUCACAUGAAAAGAUUAUGAUUUUUUAAGAUAUGUGCUGCUCAAAGAAGGAAAAUUUCGCCAAUUUAAUUAGGUGUAGGGUGGUCUAAGUUAAAUUCCGCUGUUUCAAUUAGCUAUAGCGAUAUAGAAUUGUAAUUUUUUAAGAAUAUAUGUUUUUGCAAAACACUAAAAUAAAAAAAUAAAAAAGAAAAAAUUCGACGGGCAUAGACGCUCUUGCACUCGACAUCAGCUGCUUCCAAGCUCCUGCCCGUGCUUUAGGCCUGCCACUGGAGAGGGUACGGGCAAACCUACUCUUGUUCACACCCAAAUUCAAAUAAUUAUCAUCUACUCCUUACCCUCCUCAAUCCCAUUCAUAUCCAAUAGAUAAUUAACUUUGUGCUACGUAUGUAUACUUAUCCAAUUAAUUAAUUAUGUCCUUCCGAUACCCUACCCUCUCUAUUUAUACCUGUACCCCUCAAUUGAUAAUUGAUUAAUAGAGAGGGUACGGAUACCCAGCGGUGGGCCUACCGUGCUUUGGGCGGCAGGCCUCGUCCGUCGUCGUCGUCGGUCGGCCGGUGGGCCUCGCCGCGCGUUCGUUGGUGGUCUGGGCUCCUCCUGCUGUGUUGUCAGGCCCAACCCCAACAGCCGUUUCUGUUGGUGGGCUGGCCCAUCAAGAGCCCAACUCCGUAGCCAUCAGCAUCGCUGCUGCUUGUGCUUCUCCGGUUCUCCCCAAGCUCCGGCCGUUUCCAGACUUGCAGCCGCGCCUGCGCCGUCUCUCUCGGUCUCACUCCCAUAAACCCCCAAAACCUCUCCCGGCGGCGCCCCCAGCCCGCCCCCCCCAAUGGCGGUGGAGAAAUCCGGCGGCGCUGCCGCCUCCUCCUCCUCCUCCACCGCCGCCAUGGACCGCUUCCAGAAGAUCGUCCUCAGCUGGGACUACCUCCGCCUCGUCGCCGAAUCCAAGGUACACGCAUCGACCCCGCCCACGCCCACGCCCACAUCCACCUGCCCGCCGAACCACCCGUAACGACGAGCUUAUCAAAAACCCUAACCUUCUCUUGCUUUGGGGCAGGGCGGCAAGCAGGCGAAGGGGCUGCAGCGCGUGAAGGACACGUACAAGUCGGUGGCCGACUACCUCGGCGUCUUCGAGCCGCUGCUCUUCGAGGAGGUCAAGGCGCAGAUCGUCCGGGGGCGCAGCGACGAGGAGGAAGAAGGUAAGGGCGCGGGCGCCUGGGCUGCGCUGCGCUUCUCUCUCGCCGCCGCCCGUUGUUUGCUCUGAUUUCGCUGGUGGGUUUGUUAAUUUGGAUUCUUAAUUCGUGGCUUUGCCUCGUGUGGGUGUAUGCAGAUGCUGGGCUCGACUGGCAGAGGGUGGCGGUGGGCUUGUGCGCGGAAUCCGAGGGGUUCCAUAAGUUCUCCAUGGCGGUGGAGAACGAUUUUCGGGAGAAUGUGGGGGAGAAUGACCUAGUGCUGCUCUCCAAGGAGAAAGUAAGUGCUGUGCAAGUAAAUUCGGCAGUUUAGCUGGUCCUUUUAUGCAAGCAUCAAGGUACUAACUACUGACAAUUUGAUGGGAGGAAAUGUCUCGUAAGUCAAACUAUUUUGUUAUAUAAAGUCAAAACUAUUGUUUUGUAGGUGGCUAUGUGCAUAAUAGUUGAAAAAUCGUAAACCAGGCAUUCUCUAGAUUUGUGUUCCUUAGGGGCAGUAUUACCUUUAGGUACUUAGUUCUUACCUUUUGGGCAUUUUUUUCUAGGAACAGAGCAAAAUGUGCCAUAAGUUAUGUGCAGUGCUUACUCAUAUGAUGAACUGGUGAAUUGCCAAGUACAUGUAUUAUACUCAUGAUGAACUGGUUGUGCCUGCACUUUUGCAGUUUGAGGAGGGAGUGACCCCUACUGCGUACGCCUUUGCAUUGGUGGAACAGCGUGGUGGUAGUGCAACUAUUUCUCUUAGAGCUUUUCUGGCAGGCGAAAUUCAAAAUCUGAAUGUUUCCAAGCCUGUGAACGCUCCAAGGCUGCAGCGUUUUGCUUCCAUUUUGGCAGCUGAGAGCAGCACCCUGUGGAUAUUGAAGGUGUGUCAAAAUUGUUCUGAGACAAGCUCCUGAGUUUUCAUGCCAGCAUUGUUUAUUGACAGCAUGUACUACUUGAUUUGGCAUUUUCUGGUAAAAAUUUUCAGGUCUGCAGCUUGUCAACUAUAAUGCGGGAGUUCACAGCUAUGCAUUCUGUAGCUUCUCUUCCUUUUAAGGACUCGAUUCUUUCAGCUGCUGAGAAGCAUAAGGAUGGUGAUGAUCAAAGUCGUGCGUGGAAUGUCCCUCAGCCACUUAUGGAUCACCUCAAAGCAAAUCUUAAUGAUUCACAGCUAGAGGCAGUCAAUGUGAGCAUCCUUUGUCAUUUUUGGUAUUGUUCAUAUAUCUAUUGUAUCUAAUAUCUGUUUUAAAGGCUGCGACUCUGAUAUAUUACUGUACUGUCUCUAGGCAGGUCUUUCGCGCAGAUCAUUUGUUCUUAUUCAGGUUUGUUAUGUUUUCACUACUACCAUUGAAUUUGCAUUGUUAUUGUUUACCUACCUUGGUUAUGAAAGUACUGUAAUUAUCUUAGCAGUCUUUAGAUAUUUGUUUUUUGUUUAGAAGGCUAUGCAGAUACAACACAUUACACUACUUAGUUUUUGUCCUAGGACACAUUAAGGAGUUAAGAGUAAUGUGCAAUUUACUGAUUUAUGUACUUGUAACUGUUGAUUUGCAGGGUCCUCCAGGAACUGGAAAGACUCAAACUAUCCUUGGACUCCUCAGUGCUGUUCUCCAUUCUGCUCCUGCAAGAAUGAAGACAAAGUAACAAAAUACUUGUUUAUUCGUUUUUCAGUGUAUGGAAUAGUAAUUCUAUUUUUGAGGAUAGAUAAAUCAUCAUGUUUAAAAAAUGAGAGGAGAUAGAACUGAAAUAUGAAGUUUGACUGAAUUUUUUGAAAGCAUAUCCACCCUUUUUUUUUCCCUCUGCACAUUCUUCAUUCAUAGCUAAACUUGGCACAUGCAUCUUGUAUUCUUUUUGAUCCUGUAAUGCAGAGGAGGAUUUGAUGUUCAAAGGCAUGGACCAGAGCUGGACAUUGAUGGCAAGUAUGUUGAAAAUUGCAGAUUUCCUAGUUAAUUUCUGUCAUAUUUAUUUCGACUUUUGGCAUCGAAAUUGGGAGCAUAAAAAGCUGAGUAAGAAUGUCUAACAGCCUCAAUAUUAUUAGUUUUCCUUGCAGUUUUGAAAUGCUCCAUCCUUAACUUAUUUUUCUUAUAGUUCUGCAUGGUUGUUUAAGUCACUAGAAAUUCCUUAGUUUUUGACAUUUCUCUUAUUUUUUGGAUAUCUUAAAUCCACUAAAUGGAACUAGGCCUUGUUGGAAGGAUAUGACUAUUGUUACUUUACACAUGACACCAUCUUCUGUAACCAUCUUUAAUAUCUAACUGGUGCUAUAUGGAAACUGAUAAGAAUAUGAUUUUUCAGUAUACUACUGGUUCCAUUUUUACAUGCACAGUACUACUGCAAUUUUUUCUUGGUGCUAAUAUUGUGAAUUUCACAUGACAGGUAUGCACACUGGGUAAAAGCAUCUCCUUGGUUACUUGGUGCAAACCCUAGAGAUUUGAUUAUGCCUGUCGAUGGUGAUGAUGGUUUUUACCCCACUGGAAAUGAACUGGUACUCUUCUGUUCUGUGUACUUGCUAAAAUUGGUCCUGGUGCCUUGAUUAUUUUACCCCUUACAAGGCAAAAAAAAUUCUUUAUAGAAACCUGAAGUUGUAAGUUCCAGUCGCAAGUAUCGGGCCCAUGUGUUGGUCUGUGCUCCAUCCAACUCAGCACUCGAUGAGAUUGUGUUACGUGUUCUUAACACAGGUAAAUGUUUCGGUGCUAAGUUAUCCAAUACAUAUACUAUGCUCCCAAAACCUUUUUCACUUUUUGCAUCUUAUGCAUUUUGUCACUAAGUGGACUAUACCAUUAGCAUGCAUUAUUUUUUUGCUCACAAAUCAUUAGGAUGCAUCAUGAGCAAAUUAAGAAAUGAAAUAAUGCUUCGUUUUUUAGGAAUUCGAGAUGAAAAUAACAACACUUACAACCCUAAAAUUGUGCGCAUUGGAGUGAAGGCACAUCAUUCUGUUAAAGCAGUUUCUAUGGAUUACCUGGUACGUGAUUUAAGCUGCAAAGCAUUUUCUGUCUAACUUAACUUCUAGCAACUACAAUGAGUCCAUGCCUUUGCAGAUACAACAAAAACUUUCUGGUGUAGAUCGCACAUUAGAUGGUGGGAGACGAGGGGCUGGCGAAUAUGAUCGGAUUAGAGCUUCAAUACUGGACGAAGCGGCCAUUGUACGUCAUCUGCUAUUGUAGUAGUAGAGUUUAUCUAUUAUAAUUUGUUCUCAUUGUGAAGCAAAAUUUGUAGGUAUUUUCUACUCUGAGUUUCAGUGGAUCAUCAAUUUUCAGCAGGAUGAGCCGUGCUUUUGAUGUUGUUAUAAUUGAUGAAGCUGCACAAGCAGUGAGGAUAUCUUUUAAACGUUGCUUUUAUUAUGGAGCAUUUACAUUAUUAACUGGGAUAUUGGCAUAUCCUCUAAGCCUCUAUUUUAAGUAAUAUUUCUGAACUUUACCUUAUAUUCUUGUUUUUCAGGUGGAACCUGCAACUCUUAUACCCUUGGUCCAUGGGUGCAGACAAAUUUUUCUUGUAUGUUGUCCACUUUCGCAUUUGUUUCUACACAUUUUUUUCUUUUCUUUAAGCAUUUCGCUCCCCCUUAUGCAAUAUGUAUAUUAUUCAUUGGUACAGUACCUUAUUAUACGAUAGAAGUCAGGCACCGCACAUGAUAUUUUGAAUAUAUCCUCUUCUCAGGGUUGUAGUACAUAUAGGAACAUUUCUCUCUCUGGGCUUAUGUCCACAUCAUGCUUUCAUUUCUUUGGUGUGCGUGUGUCCAGUCUCACCAUUUUGCUCAAUUUCUAUCACUUAAAAAGUGUUAUAUUAGUAUCUUGGCUCAUGAGUGCACUGACUAUAGCUUUCGUUAGUGAUUCACUAUAGCAUUCACUGUCUCUCCUAAUAUCCUAAUCAGGUUGGUGACCCAGUUCAGUUGCCCGCAACAGUCAUUUCAUCAACUGCUCAGAAAUUGGGGUAAGAUGAUCCUUAUUUUCUUUAUACUGUUCCAAAUUGUUCAGGUGCUGUAAUUGCUAAGGUGAUGCUCUUUUUAUCUGUUAGAUAUGGAACAAGCUUGUUCAAAAGAUUUCAAGGUGCUGGUUUUCCAGUGCAAAUGCUUAAAAUUCAGUAUCGCAUGCAUCCAGAGGUAAAUCUCCCAUCCUCAGCAGCUCAAUCUUUCUUAAGCCGGAAACUGGAAUGGUUUUUGUAAUUCAUUAUUCACUCAAACAGAUUAGUAUCUUCCCUUCAAAAGAAUUUUAUGAAGGGGUACUACAAGAUGGAGAGGGUCUCAGCAAGAAACGCCCAUGGCAUUCCUACACCUGCUUCGGACCAUUUUGUUUCUUUGAUGUUGAUGGUGUUGAAUCCCAGCCACCUGGAAGUGGUUCUUGGGUGAAUCAGGAUGAAGUGGAAUUUAUAACUCUCCUAUAUCAUCAACUGGCAAUGCGCUAUCCAGAACUCAAAUCUAGUUCUGAAGUGGCUGUGAUAUCACCGUACAGGCAGCAGAUGAAAUUAUUGAGGGACAAUUUUCGGUUGACCUUUGGGGAUCAAUCAAAGGAAGUGAUAGAUGUAAACACUGUUGAUGGAUUCCAGGUAACAAACUCAUAUGUAUUUCAUGAAUGGAAUUUCUUUACUUGUCGGCUCUGUGCCUCGUAUAUUCUUGCAAGUAUCAGUGAUGUUGUAUCUCACUGGUUGUAUUUAGGGCCGUGAAAGAGAGGUAGUCAUUUUUACAUGCGUAAGAUGCAACAAGGAGCAAAAAAUUGGGUUUGUUUCUGAUUUUCGGCGAAUGAAUGUUGCCAUCACAAGAGCUAGGUCUGCUGUACUGGUAACUGCCUCUUCUCCAAGCUUUAAACUUUUUUUCUUUAAUAUUUUGUUUUGCACUAUCUGCAGACUGCAGUAACAUUGGUACCAUCUUAUGCAUGAUACUCAUGGCAAGUCUGCACUCAAGGUCUCAACUCAGAGAUAUUAGCAGGUUAUAAAUGUAAUAAUUAAGGAGCUAGGAGGUUACAAAUUUAAUUAUUAAAGGUUACAGUUUAAUAAUUAAGGAGCUAUGUGGCCUAACAAGAUAUAUACAGAAUGGUCCAGAUUCUCUUGCAUGCAUCCAUACAUGUAUAAGCAGCUUGUUCAAGGAUGCUGUUUAAUUGUUCAUGGUUGCAUCCAUCUUCAAGAUUUAGCUGACAUUUAGAAACCCACUUUCUUUGCUCAUGUUUUGUUAUACACUUACACUUGGGUCGUUUACUUGUAAUUCCAAAUAUUAAUCUGCAUACCACAGGUUGUAGGUUCCGCUUCAACCCUGCAGAAAGAUGAGCACUGGAACAAUCUUGUCGAGAGUGCCAAAGAGCGAAACCGCUACUUCAAGGUGCGAUUGCGAUGGGCUACUCUUGUUUCUCAGCUUGAAAGAGCAAAAACAUCUGGAUGAAUCCAAAUUUUGCAUAUCUUGCAGGUUCCCAAGCCAUUCGGUGCAUUCUUUGCUGAGGAUAACCUGGAGACCAUGGCGGUGAAACCACAGAAGGAUCCUCGUCCUCCUGAGCAGAAUACUGAAGUGAUGGAAGGAAUGAAUGAAGCAGCGAUGGGGCGGGAGUUUGAUGCUGCCGACCAAGCAGAUGCAGGGGAUGACGACGAUGCUGAUAUGGAUGCUGAUGAUGGAGGUGGCGAUGACUGAUUGUAGGAUGCCAUAGAGGUGUGGCCUGGGAUAGAGCAAUUGUGUUAGAGAACUGGUACAUAUAAAGGAUAUUAGGGUUUUCUUGGGUGGAUAUGGAUGUUGACGAGGCUUGAAAACAGAAAUUUGGAGCAGCUAUUCUUUUUGUCUUAAUCCAAUUUUGGGAGGAAGAGAUGUCCGGAUGCUUAAGUUACACUACGAACAUUACUCGUUUAUGAGACUGUAGACGUGUCAGAUACAUCUUUCUUGCGUACGUUUUCCACGUCGCAUUUGUGCACCUCAGAAAUCAGUUUGCCAUGCCUUAGAGAAAUAAUACAAGUUUAUUUUGAGGAAGCAGAAUGGCAGGCGUCACGUGCCGCUGCACCUGCACAUGUAACCGUGAGUCAUGACCUUAAAAGGGAGUCAAGAGUGUCCAUCAGCCAAACAACAGAAUUUAAGCACACAGACAACAAGUGGCGGCGCUCUCGUGAGUGAUGAUGUUUUUGAGUAUGAGGUGAAGAGUGUUUUGUGGGAUUGGGAGGCACCGGAAUUCCUGGCUGUAGAAGGCGGUACUGAGCCACUGUCCAUUAACCCAUGCUAACCUGCAGUUCCAUUGGAUGAGACGAUAGACAGGUGCCAGUACUCCGAUAGACAUCUCUAGGCUGUGACACCAAAUCACAACUACGGAGACGUUGGCUUCCCCUUCCUUACGCCGCUGCUCCAUGUAGCAUUGGAAUUGAUUGUUCUUUUAGAUGGACAGGCAUGAUGGGUCUUCACCUUCAGCUUCUUUACGCCAAGUCGAUACCCAAAUGGGAGGACCCCCUCCAGAUAGUCGCACCACCAUUGGCCGGCGCUCUCCUCCAACGAACCUUUGCGCAUUGGCCUCCAUGCCAUCGAGCAUUUCCAUAUCCUCCUGAUCACCAUUGUUAUGUCCUUCCAGCUCUGUUUAUGAAAAUCAUGUCAUUACGAAUUAGCCAAUGGAUUGUGUCCUUGUUAUCCGGAACCCCUAGCUAAUGCUAUUUUACUUUUGCAACCGUCAUAAUUAAUGUGUAAGGUCACGCCCUGCUUUUAUCCCAGAUUCACGGUUCAACAACCUGUUCAAUGCCAAAUGUCUCCAUGGCUCCCAAGAGUAUGGGGAAGCAAGAGCUCUGCCCAAUCACUACUAGAAAGAAAUACUAGAAAUAUGAACAUUUGUCCUUAACGUCAGUACCGGACAGCUUUUCAUCCGGUACUAACGGGCGAAAUUAGUACUGGUAUAAUUUCUCGAUCCUCGGAGGUUUUAGUACCGGUCAGUGUUAUUACCCAGUACUAAAAGGCCUCGACCAUUUAGUAUCGAGCAAUAAUACCAGUACCCCGUAAAGUACCAUUUAGUACCGGUCAAUAACACCAAUCAGUACUAAACAUUUAAUACCGAUAGGCCUCUCCACGGGUUACCUCAAAAGGAAAAUAUUACCGGUCAGGCGUCCGGUAAUAAAGGGUUACUGACCGGUACUAAAAGUCACUUCCCAGCAGUGAAUGGUGGAGCUAGAAAAAAAAUAUGCACCAAUUCACACCGCAUGUACAUUACUAUGGUAGAAAAAAAUGUAGCACAAAAUUAAAGGAGUAAUAACACAACCUCAAAUUUGAAGAACAAAUUUGCAAAUACGCUAUACAUUGUAAAAUACAAAACAUAUUGCGGAUCGUCUGAUAUUGCUUUGUGUAGUACUGCCAGCUGCCGCUCCUCCUCUAUGUGCUCGCAGCUCGCGCAGUCGGCCGCCAACACUACUGCCGCGCUUCAAGACCUUAGAAGGGAGUCAAGACUGUCCAUCAGCCAAGCAACAGAAUGAGCGCGCACAAACAAAAAAGCGUGGAUGAGCCAAGACGCCGUUGUGCAUGAGGUGAAGAGUGUGUAUCAUGGGAUUGGGAGGUAUUGGAAUGCCUGGCUAUACAGUACUGAUCCGAGCUAGCCACUGCCUGCCAUGCCCAUGUUAAUUUGUAGCCUCGUUCGAGGGAUCGGCAUCGAGAAGCAUUCCGUGGGCCGUGACAACACGCUUCCCAUUCGUUGCGUUGCACUGCUCCGCAUCGCGUCGACAUUGAUCAUGUCCUCUGUUCUCGGGGCUUGCACAAGCGCUCAACCCUCCGUCAGUCGCAGGAUUGGGACGGAGUAAGCUGCCGCCCUGCUUCAUCCCCGAUUCCGGUUCGACAAGCUGUCCCCCAAAUAUUGCACAGUAACUACCUCACCGUCCGAUUAGGAAUAGGUGCACCGAGAGUUUGUCGGCGGUUCCAGAAAAGCAUAUAAAAAAACAUGUUGGGGACGGGCGGACGGCUAAUUAAUUCUGGCUCAUGGUUUGUCGUUUCCAAAACAAAAUACUUCCGUCGGAACGAAUGUGAGCUACUCCGCAGUAACUGGCUAACUGCAGGUUGGAGGUUGGUCAUUUUUGUUUCAGUCUUGUCUUUCGCAAUUGGAUCCGUUAGCAACAGGGCAGACCCAAUCCAACACACUAGCUAUAAUUUCCAUAAGCUCUACGUCGACAAGAAAUAGGUACUAGACACUACUUUUCUGUAGCGAACAUAGUCCUAUUAGAUCAUAGUUUGUGAUGAUUGAGUUACAACAUGAUCAUUGGGACUAAUGAUUUGUUUAGAUUACAUUGAAGGUUUUCUAGUCAUAAGGAAGCAAACCACAAAAAAAACCACGCGAAGAAAUGAAGAUUUAUCCACCGAUGCAAUGCACUGACUCAUUCGGUGAUGGCAAGAAACACCACUGAAUCAGUCGGCGAUAUGAUGCGCACAAGCUAAUUGGGACCAUCGGAUGAUCCUUUGGGUGCCAGACUGAGGCAUCGGGCCAUCCAAUGACCACAAUGGAAGUUGGCUGAAGGGAUGCGUACCGAAUGAUCCGACAGCCAUUUAUUUGUACCCAUCGAUUUGGGCAAUGAAGAAAAUGAGAGGAGCACUGGAUGAUGUGAUACUAUGCCUAUGCGUCGAUGAACAUCGGACGAAGCAAAUUUACUUUGUGUACUUCGAGAGAGGUUUUGGGCGAAAAUUCUUCAGCACUGGAUGUCGGAGGCAUCAGAUGAAGCACCGGAUGAAUCGGUGCAGCAAAUCAGUCGAUGGAAUGCGUCGGUGAGGAAUUUUGGGCGUAGGGAGGUCUAUGGCUAGUUGCACCGGAUGUUCCGAUACCUCUAAAAUGUAACCGUCGGAACAUCCGAUGGUAUAUUUUAACUAGCUGUUGGAGCAACGGCUCUUUGAAGUCUGGGGGCUAUUUAUACCCCUACCACUCGCUCAUUUAGAGUUGCUGAAGUGUCCAGGAGUGCAUUCAAGACCACAAGACUCAUCAAGAACACAUCCGUGCUACCAAAAAUGAAAAAGUGAUUGACCUAAGGCUUAACACAUACUUAGAGAAAUAAUUAGUGCUAGGAUAGACCUAGAGAGAGUGAGUGCAAGGUGCUGCUACCUUGUGAUUGGUUUACGGAGUGAACCACCAUUGUAAGCUUCGUGUGCUGGCGUCUUAGAGUCUUGGUGGCUUGCCGGCAAGUCUUCGACCCUCCAUCUUGGUGUGGAGCGACGACGAUGACCAUGUGCGGGGGACGAGAAGACCCCUUCCUUCGUGGAGAAGUUUCGUAGUGAAGAUGACAUCAAGGUGACCGGAAGAGAGGGACUGGUGAGCCUUGCCUUAGUGGCAAGCUUCUCAUCCAGCUUGGCGAGAGCCUUUGUGACGAGUCCAAGACCUUGACCGGGAGAGAAUUGGUGACCGGGAGCAUAUCCUUGAUGGAGCUUCAACGUGGACUAGGGGUGGCAUUUGCCUACUGACAUCAUGGGAUAAAUCAUCGUGCCGAAUUUGCCUCACCUUCCUAACCUACUCAUUCACGUUUCCGCAUUUCGUACUUCCUACUUGAGGGCAUUUACUUACUAGAGUAGUAUCUUGAUAUAGGAUUGGCUCUAAGUUGCAAAACUCUUUGUGGGAGGGAAGUUUCACUAGAUCAACUAUAUUUGCACAUCUAAACAACAUGAUCCAGUUUAUGUUUCUAGUAGAAGCCAUAAGCUGAGGAUUUUAAGUUUGCCUAAUUCAUCCCCUCCCUCUCGUAGGCUACGAGCACUGAUUUCUUGUAUCUUCCAAUGUAGACACCUUUAUUCCAUACUUGAAUUUAAUACUACUCAUCUCUUAUUAUAUCUUGGAUGGUGUGUAGAAACUAGAUCUUGGUUUUUUCUCUUUCUUCAUUUAUGCCACAUCAUCUUUUAUUCUAAGUGGCAACUCAUUUAAUUCUAUGGACACCAUCCUAGUCAUCGGAUUGGGACUGCCUUGUAGGGUGGUGGUGUCUUCUUUUUAGCAAGUGUUCUCUCUCUCAUAUUAAGGCCCCCGGCUUCUCCUCCCAAAGACGACUCAGGGCUCGUUUGUUUGUUCCGAAGAGUCGGAGAAGCAACAGCUCUCCCAAAUGGGUCGUAAAAGCACAUUUUGGCUUCUUGAACUAUCACAAAAGGUACACAAUGGACAUUAGUUAUUAUGAGAUCGACUGCAAAAGUGACAGCUAGACCACGUCUCUUACUUACGUCUUCCGUGUUGCAUUAUUGCAUAUCAAAAACCCAUUUUCCAGUGGUUAUAAAAAUAAAUAAUUGGAGGCAACAGAACGGCAGCAAAUUAAAUAUGUGCCCUGCACAUGAGUCUGCGUUAUGGCAGCUGCACGUACGCUCGCACGACUGAUAAAAGGGGGCCAAGGGUGUGUCCUGUCGAGUCGGAUCGCCUCUCUAUCUCAACAAGCACAAGGACACAAUAGAACACGAGAACAAGUACGAGGGACAAAUCUUUAUUACUGAAUUGGAUGAUUUACGAUAAAAAUCUUCCUCGUAUAUAUUCUUCAAACCUAGCUUAAAGUUUUAGUAAAAACCUACGAACAACUAGGACUAGGACUUCUAGUCCUUCCUUUCCUUCCAGGAAUCUCAGCUUCCAUAUUCUGAGAUUGAGUCCUGUUGUUUUACGACAUGUCCAUCUGCCAAGCACCAAAAUACGCGUGCACACACAUAGAAGAGAGAGUGCCGAUGAGAAGUCUGCUCUCUCUCGAGAGGGAGAUUGAGGAUGCCCUUUGGGCACGAGGUGGUGAGUGCAUCAUGAGUGCAUCAUCUGUGUGGGAUUGGGAGGCACUGGAAUACGAGGCUAUACAAUGUAGGGAUCCGAAUCUCUGAUUCUACCGAUGUUAAUCCGGAGUCCUGUUCAAUGGGCCAGAAGAGGUCCUAAUCCUGCAAAGUUCUCUAGUUCAUGAGGCGGUGAUGUUGGCUUCCCUUUCCUUCGUCGGGGCCGCACUGCAUCGCUAGAGACCUGAGCCAGUCUUCUGUGUUGUCCGGUGCCUGCACAAGCACGGCAGAAUGCUCCGCGUUGUCCUAGCUGAACGGUGGCACGAUGGAGGUGUAGUAACCGUAUCUCACAGGGAGCUGAGCGUGCUGUUCUUAGCAUGGUUUUCCCUAUGCUGCCGGUCACUCAUGUAUGCACAUGGUGUAUUGAACCUAAUAAUCUUUCAUUCCCGUACCAAAAUGUGUCAUCCACUGGGUGUAGGGGCACCAAGUGUUGUCAUUUAAUUUGUCGGUGGUUCCAAUGAUCUUGCUCAAGACCAUGAAGGUGUUGAAAGGGUUCCUCCUCCGGAGGUGAAUGCUCAAGCGCUGGAAACGAUCAACGAAGUUGUCAUAAGGCUAUGGUUUUAUGUCUUUACAAGAGGCUCUGCAAGCACUACUGCUCCAAAGAGCGAAACUUCAAGUUCAAGGUGUGAUUGUGAUUGCUUCCAUGUUGUUUCUCAGCUUGAAACAGCAACAGCAUUUGGAUCAAUAAUCCAAACUACGCGCAUCUUGCGAUUCGUUUUCUCUUAUCCAAUUUUGGGAGGAAGAGACGUCCGGAUGCCCAAGUUACGUUACAACCACUGUUUAUUUGAGAGCGUAGGAAGUGAUGCACGCUUCUUGUGUACGUUUUCCACGAUGCGCGUCAUGACUCACGACCUUAAAUGGGAGUCAAGAGUACCCAUCACCCAAGCAACAGAAUGCGCGCGCGCGCACACACAAAAGAGCGCUAAUGGGAAGUGGUUGCGCUGUCGUGAGCGAGGAUGUCUUUGUGCAUGAGAUGAAGAGGGUAAAUCGUGGGACUGGGAGGCACUGGAAUCCCUGGCUAUACAGGAUGGAACAAAGUCACUGCCCAUCAACCCAUGCUAAUCUGGAGUCAACGGAGUGACUGAGAGGUCCCAGUACCCGAGAAGCAUUCUCUAGGCUGUGCCACCUCAUAGUCAUUGCGUUCCCCUUCCAUUGAAAUUGAUUUGUGUCCUGUGUUGUUCGGAGCUUGCACAUGCACAAGUGGACAACCCUCUACCAGUUGCAGGAUUGGGUGGUGGCACUGGCUAAUGUUGUUUUUCGUUCUUCAAUAGCCACAGUUGUGUAAGCUUCUGCCGUAGAAUACCAUGCUUCAUUUUAUCCCGGAUUAAUUCUUGGUUCCACAAGCUGUGUUCACACAGUUCCAAAUGUCGCUCACAGAGGCUAUUACUUGACCAACCGUACCAAAAUGCUACCAGGUGCUCGAAGAGUUCGUCAUUUGUUUGGGACGGCUGUCGCAUAGUUGGUUUGUCUGUCUCCGAAGUCCAAACAUAUCACUUGUUGGCCGUACUUGUCAAUUGUCAUCGCAACUCGCAAAUGUGCGUGCUGUUGUUCUGUUUCGAUCCUGUUGCAGGUUGGAUCUAUUAGUGGGUGGUCCUGUCUCCUUCCACAAAGUAUUCUCUCUCCUUUAUAACAGUCUAUAAAAUUACACUAUGAACGUUUAUGUAUUAUGUCCUUUUAAAAACAUUAAUUAAUUUUUAUGGGACCGCAGAAGUGAUAAUAAACCGACGGCAUCUCUUAUGUACGUUUUCCGUGCCACAUUAGUGCCUGUCAUAAAAAAACCAUUUACCAUUGGUUAGAGAGAUGAAAGUUUUGAAGCAGCAGAAUGGCACAUGAGACCACGCUAUGACAGAGGUUGCAUGGCCGAUAGAUCAUCGUGACCAUAAAAGGGUGUGACCUGCUGGCAGUGGCGGAGCCAGCAUUUGCAAGUUGGGUAUUCCCAUUUUCUAUGGAAAAAAAAAUCUAGGAAGCCAUCCACACUAAUUUUCCAAAGUCUUCAAAUAUCUAUAGAAAGAAAAUUAUACACACUAAUUUACUAAUUCGCACCAUCGAUUAUGCUGCAAAAUUGGUGCUCACAUAUAACAUGUUCUAUCGCUCUUUUGCCAAAGUUGAGUUAAGCCCCUGCUGCUGCCUUCCAUGCACGAUUGCGUUGUUCAGCUGCUGCUGCGCCUGGGACAGUUGUGUUGUUCGGCACCCGGUCAUCCCCUUGUGGCGCGGACUUAGCUGCCUGGCACAUCCAGCAUGCGGCCGGUCGGCCUGCCGCCACAUGGUGCUUGCCGCCUCAAGGACUCCAAGCGGAGCCCGCCGGCUUGUGCUCACCGACUCGUUGCGCCCGCCACUCGCCAGGCCGCUAGACCUUUGGUUCGAUUCAGUUUUGGGGUAGGGCAACGACAAGGAGAGGAGUGCAUGUACAUCGCUGUGUGCACCGUGCGUUGUGGCGAGAGUGCUAGCCUGCGAGGAGAACGACGAGAGGCGGAGAGAAGUGGGAUGUGUGGGCUGUGGACUGUUCUGAUGGCAGGCAGGGGAGGGUGAAAAACGCUGGCUGGGUUGGUGUGGCACUUUGGGCCGAUUUAUAACUUAAGAACCAGAUAUUACAGCCCAAUAUAGUAUCUACAUAUGUAUACACUUGAUUUAUACUGGUCUUUUGCAAAUUGCAAAACACUACUGGAAACUCAGUAUCGUCCCAAGACUCAGUACCAGUUGCAUUUUGAUCUGUACUAAUGUGAGCAUUAGUACCAGGCUUAACGGCUAGUCCCCGAGGAGCCCCCGUGUACCGGGUGGAAGCUUCACCCGGUACUAAAGAUCACCCAUUAGUACCAAUUGAAGCCUCCAGCCGGUACUAAUGUGCAUGAGUGCCUUUAGUACCGGGUGGAGGCUUGACCCGAUACUAAUGACCUUUAGUACCGGGUGACGCCUCCACCCGGUACUAAAGGGGUACCUCUCCUCACGCAUCAGCCCCCCUUCUCUCUCUCACCCCACACUCACCCCCAUCCCCACACUUGUCCGCUCAUCCCCUCAUCCGACCUCUCACCCGCGCCUCUCUCUCUUCUUCUCCCCGCCGAAUCCCCUCUCUCCCCCCUAGCUAAAUCCCCUCUCUCUCUCCCACACACAGAUCCCAUCGCUACCCCUCACCUCUUACAUGUGGUGAGGACCGGCGGUGGGGCAAGGAGUGACGAAGGCAAGAAGGGAGGGCGCGGCGAGGCGGUGAAGUGUCGGCAGGGCGGCGGCGGGGCCAGGAGCGGCGGAGCUUCGGUGGGAGGGCACGGCGGCGGAGCGUCGACAAGUGUGGUAGAGCAAGGAGUGCGUGGAUCUUGGAGUAACGACCACCUUUGCCUCAAAUCUGGCAGCGGCGGCAACCGACGGGCUAAGGAGCAGCGGCGGCGGCAACCGGCGGAGGUGGCUGAGCAGCGUAAGUACGCUGCCUCCCUCUCCCCUCUCUCUCUCUGGUGCGGGACUUCAGCGCUCGAGCGGAUGGUGGUGGGGUGCGGCUGGGGCUCCGGCGCUUGGGCGGACGGUGGCGGGGUGCGGCAGGGGCUCCAGUCAACGGAUUUUUUUUAUUUUUAAUACCCCUUUAGUAUCGGUUAUUUGACCUGAUACCCCCUUUAGUACCGAAAUAGCAAUACCAGUUGCACAACUGGUACUAAAGGGUGGUUUACACCCGAUACUGAAGGUGCAUUUCCCAGAAGUGAAAUUUGGGUAUUCGUGGCACCAUGCUGCCUCCGCCCCUGCGUGCUGGCCGCUGCAAGGAUCAACAUGCACACAACCACAUUGAUGAGACAUGAGAGAGUGCCGAUGAAGGUCGCUGGGUUCUCGAGAGGGAGGGAGGAUGACCUUUGUGCACGAGGUGACGAGGAGUGUAUCACACGCAUGGGAUUGGGAAGCACUAGAAUUAGAAUUUGAGGCUAUACUAGUAGUGUUUUGGCCACUGCUCAUGUUAAUCUGGAGGUCUAUCUGAUGGACCAGCAAAGGUCCCCAGUUCUGUGUAGUUCUCUGGAUCAUCAUGACAGAACGGGGAUGUUGGUAUCCUUCUCGUUCAGCUACGCUGCACGGUCUCGAAAACUAUCAAGUCGUGUGCUGUCCGGGGCCUGCAACAGCACAAGCGCACAACUCUCUGUAAACCCAGCUAGAUAGUGCCAUGAAGGCUGGUGUGGUACCUCACCGGAAACUGGGGAUAUUGCAUCUUUUCUUAGCAUGGUUCUUCCCUGUCUCACCAAAGCAAUGAUAUUCUGAGACCUGAGUGCUGCCACAGGUGUGAGGUGUCAUGCUUAAGGAACUCACAUGGGGCUCCUCAUACAAUUCAAAACUGACACUAUUUUCCCUUUUGCAUGACAACAAAGAGUAAUAGUCGUGUAAAGCUUCCGUAGUAGAAAGAAUACCAUGGUUGAUGAGUCAAAUAAACACUAUUUUUUUUGUUAUACCAUCGAUUCACUAAAUGAACACCGCAAGGUUCAGUGCCAAAUGCACUGUCAGUGUCAAAUGCACUUCACCAACCAUACUACUUAUCUUUCAUUCCCAUGUCAAAAUGUAUCAUCCACUAGGUGUAGGACCACCAAGUGUUGUCAUUUAAUUUGUGGGUGGCUCCAACUGUUCAACAAAUGAUCUAGCCAAAGAAUAUAAAGAUGGAAAUGGUUCCUCCUCUAGAUCUGAAUUCUCAAGCACCAUUUGUGCGCUUCAAAAACCAAUUUCUCACGGCUUGGAGAAAUACAAGUUUAUUCUGAGAAAGCAGAAUUGUAGUAGUCACGUGCCGCUGCACAUGAAAUGACGCGUCAUGACUCAUGACCUUGAAAGGGAGUCAAGAGUAGUAUCCAUCACCCAAAGAAAUACAAUGAGCAAACACACAUACAAAAGAGCGCUAAUGGGAAGUGGUCGCGCUCUUGUGAGUGAGGAUGUCUUUGUGCAUGACGUAGAGUGUAAACUGUGGGAUUGAGAGGCACGGGAAUAUAAUUCCUGUCAACGCCAAUCAACCCCCAUGCUAAUCUGGAGUUCUGUUCGAAGAAGCGACAGAGAGGUCCCUGGUACCCGAUAAGCAUUCUCUAGGCUGUGACACCACGAUGCCACCUCAGACGUUGCGUGCCCCCUUCGUUGCACCACUGUCCUGUGUUGUCCGGGGCUUCCACUGGCACAUGUGCACAACCUGUCCCAGGAUUGGGAUGGUGGCACUAGAAUUCCUGGCUAAUUUUAACUUUCUUUUUGCAGGAGCCAUAGUUGUGUAAGCUUCCAUAGUAGAAUAACAUGCUUUAUUCCAGAUUCUUGGUUCACAAGCUGUUCAUAGCCAAACGUCGCACACAGUAGCAGGCUGGGCCUAUUAGUGGGUGGGCCUGUCUCCUUCCACAAAGUACUCUCUCUUUUUUAAAAGUCUAUCUUGGCUCCUGAACUAUUGCAAAAAUUACACUGUGGACAUACAUUAUUAAUUAUUAUGCAUGGAACCGCAGAUUUAAUAGACAGGCCGCAUUUCUUAUGUACUAUUGGUUAGAGAAGUUCAAGUUUGGAGGCAGCGAAAUGGCAGCAAACAUGUGCCGUUGCACAUGAGACCACAUUAUGGCAGCAAUUGCAAUCAUCAUGACCUCAAAACUAAAGGGGGUCAAGGGUGUGUCCUUCUAGCUGCUGCAAGCAUCACAAUUCACACAACCACACCGAGGAGAGAGUGCCGGUGCAUGAGAUCGAGGUCGCUGGGCUCUCGGGAGGGAGGGAAGAUGGCCUCUGUGCAGAGGUGACGAGGUGUGGGAUUGGGAGGCACCGGAAUUCGAGGCUAUACGGCGAAGAUUGUUGGGGCUGCCUAUGUUAAUCUGCAGUCCUGUUCAAUGGACCAUGAGAGGUCCCAGUUCUGCAGAGUCCUCUGGGACGUAAUGACAUCAUGGGGAUGUCUGCUCCCUUUUCCUUUGGCUGAGCUGCACCGUCUCGCAAACUGAUCAUGUCGUGUGCUAUCUGGGGCCUGCACAAGCACAUGCUCAUAGCUCUCUGUAAGAACCAGCUAGAUGGUGCCAUGAAGGCUGGAGUGGUGCCUCACCAGAAACUGGGCUUAUUGCAUCUUUUCUUAGCAAGGUUCUUCCAAGUCUUACCUCCUCCCAUAGAGCUGAAUUCUCAAGCGCCAGAAGCAAUCGAUGAAGUUGUUGUAAGCCUCAAAUUAACGACUUUACAAGCAUGUUAUGGUUGGUGGAAGAGACUCUCCAAGCAACACAGCUCCAUCUGUUUUUGGCAUUUGCAUAUGUCUCAGCUAGCCUACAAUGGGUACCUUAGAUCGAAUUGCAAGAAGAUUUGCAGACACUGAGAGAUCACGCAGACAAAAAUAACACCUUGUGCUAUACCUCUGGGAGGUUAGCUGAAUACACUUCACGAAUGUUCUACAAAUUUAACCCAGACAUUCUCUCUUCUUCUUAAAUGAAUAAGCAGUGCUCCUGCUUUAUUUCAAAAAAAAAUAUUCUAGAAAUUUAGCUUUGGCUCAAUGUCUACACCAAAACCCUUGCAUGGAUUUGGCAGAGCAAAUAAAUGCACGCCACGGCAAAUUUUGUGCUUGACUUCUUCUCAAUGACAGGCUAUACACGAGAAAUGUUCUUAGGAGGAGAAAGACUUUCCUACAGCCUGGAUACAUUAUUGUGUCUCGUGCAUGGGUGAUAUGGAGGAAACUUUGCCGCACAUAUUUUUGAAUGCUCCACAAGUGUUUGUUGUUGGUUUGCCAUUGGCAUUCAGUGGAGCACACAGCUGAACCUAAUGCAUAUGGUCCUAAAGACAAAGGAAAAGUUUCGAUCGGGCUUUCUUCAUGGGAAUUUUUGUAAUUGUAUUAGCGUGUGUGCAUAUGGAAAAGGAAUAUCUUAAUCUUUGAAGGCAAGUUUCGGAGCAUGGGUACAUGGAAAGUAGCUAUUUAGGCAUGAGAUUAUCCUGCAUUUAGCUAGGAGAACGUUUGUGUUUCAUCUCACUAACGCCACAUGGCCAGAUGCUGCAAUUUGAUUGCUUGUUUUUUCUAUUAGCACCUUGCUAGCCUCAUGAUUGCACAUACUCCUGCUAGUUACAUACUCCUGGUAGGAGCUCAUGAAUGUCGAUGAUGCCAACGACCAAGCAGAUGAAUGGAUGAUGACAAUGCUUCCAUGACAGCUUCUGAUGAAGGUGGAGAUGAUUAAUCGUGUGCUAAUUAAUAACUAGAGCAAUCGCAUUGGAGAAACCGGUAGGCUUUCUUAUUAGGACGGCGAUUGCAUUGGUUGAAGCACUUAGGUCCCACGCGGGACUCUGAGCCACCAUUUACACGGGAACGGAAGUGGCAGAGGAUUUCAUUGUGCUUGUGCAAGCCCCUGACUCCAGAGAACAGGAUCAUCCCCAGACUCCAUGGGGAUACAGCGCAGUGCAGUGCGGUGCAAGGAAAGGGAAUCCAACGUCCGUGGUGGUUGGACCAGAGAAUUAUGCAGCAUUGUAUCCAUAAUCUCCUGUUGCAGCAGGGCUCUAGAUGAACAUGCGCAGCCAAUGCCAUACAAUCUGUAUAGCCCGGAAUUCCAGUGCCUCCCAAUCCCAUGAUACACUCUCUUCACCUCAUCCACAAAUUAAAGGGUAUCCUCCCUCUACCUCUGGAGAGCGCAGCCAACCACUUCUCAUAUGCAGGCUGCAGUUUGUGUGCGCGCGCAUUUUGUUGCCUUGUUGAUGGACGACACCCUCUUGACUCCCUUUUGCGUUGUUUUUAACUAUCAAACCCUAAGGCUAGUGCAUGUCAACAUACAAGUUCUUAAUGAAAAUAAUUUAUAAGUUUUUUAUACAUUGCGGUAUGCAAUUUACAAUACGAAAAAUAUUUAUUAUAGAACUGAAUAUGUGGCUUCUCUCUGUAUGUGCUUUCGGUUUCGGAUACAGAUCUUCUGCGAACAUUUUCCUUUCGGACACAGUGAAAUUUCCUAACUAGCGCGCAGUAUCCAAUUCUUUGACAUGCACUGACAUUAGGCGAAGGUAACAUACCGAGGUUUUAACUGAAGCAAAUUGUAUAUGCUUGCUAACUGAGAAGGUUACACUUUAAAAACCAUAUGCUACUGGUUAGAGAAAUAAAGUCUGCAGGCAGCACAGUGCCAGAAAACACAUGCUGUCAUAGUGUCAUGCAUGCAUGAGGCCGCUGCAUGAUCUUGGAAGGCUUUUAAAAGGGACUCAAGAAUCUGUCCA